rnacentral:lncRNA from 1 species
AUUCCCUUCUCUAAGCCCUCUUCCACAUCGGUUCCUUCUGGUCAUCCAUGUCUCCUCUUUAGCAAGAUCUUCCCUGACCAGCCCAACAGGAAGCAUCUCCAUAGUCAUUCCUCUGUGUCUCCUUCCCCCGUGCAAGCUCUAGAGGAAGAUUCUCACAAGACCAUCGAAAUGAAAAACACCAGCCUAUUUUCCAUGCAUGGAGGGAUGUCGACGCAUCCAGAAUCAGCUAUGUUGCAACCUGUUUGUCUGGAAUCUUAUAUCUAAAUUAUGUUUCUCAAAAUUUAAUAAAUGAGGUUUAAUAGAAGGCACUCAAGUGGCACUGAUGAAAUCUGUUGUGGAAAAUACUACAAUUUCAUUGUUUUUAUAUAACCUCCUUGGAACCCGCUUCUUAUUAUUUCCAC